AAUUUGAUAAACAGGAACAGGAAGAUAUGCCAUUGAUAUCGCGACAUUCUGCGUUUGGACCACAAGGUGAUGGAAUGCAUGGAUUAAAUGGCACAGAUAGGACUAUGAUGAAUAACAUUACAUUCUGCAUUGAUACCGCAUGGUCCAGGACAAGGAUUUAUGCAUUUUUGAUUAAUACAGGCUAAAUUCGAUGAGCACUCUGCACUGACUACACAUUCUGGUCGACAUCCUGGAGGGUGAUGGAGAACAUGGAUCUUUCUUAUCUUCUAUUAUCAAAAGAAUAGGACUUGUGAAAUUUUUAAAUAUUUUGAAUUAAAUUAAAAAAAUAAAUCAAAAGAAAAUUAAACGAAG